AUUGAACGCUGGCGGCAGGCCUAACACAUGCAAGUCGAGCGGAUGAAGGGAGCUUGCUCCUGGAUUCAGCGGCGGACGGGUGAGUAAUGCCUAGGAAUCUGCCUGGUAGUGGGGGAUAACGUCCGGAAACGGGUGCUAAUACCGCAUACGUCCUGAGGGAGAAAGUGGGGGAUCUUCGGACCUCACGCUAUCAGAUGAGCCUAGGUCGGAUUAGCUAGUUGGUGGGGUAAAGGCCUACCAAGGCGACGAUCCGUAACUGGUCUGAGAGGAUGAUCAGUCACACUGGAACUGUGACACGGUCCAGACUCCUACGGGAGGCAGCAGUGGGGAAUAUUGGACAAUGGGCGAAAGCCUGAUCCAGCCAUGCCGCGUGUGUGAAGAAGGUCUUCGGAUUGUAAAGCACUUUAAGUUGGGAGGAAGGGCAGUAAGUUAAUACCUUGCUGUUUUGACGUUACCAACAGAAUAAGCACCGGCUAACUUCGUG
rnacentral:rRNA from 1 species